UCCUUCGUAGCUUAGUUGAUUAAAAAGCACCAGUCUACCGUACUGAUGGCCGUGGGUUCGAGUCCCAUCGGAGGAA